CAUGGUCAGACCGUAAGAAGGUAUCAGAGUCAUCCGGUGAUCUGAAGGGGGGGCGUCGGAGGCGGGGAGGAAGAUGAGAAGAUCGUCACCUUGUGCGUGACCAGCACCCUGGGGUUUGCUUUGACCUUUACUGUACCAGCCAGAGAGGAGGCGGGGGAGGAGGAACCUUUGGCUGGAGAUGCGUGAGUGUGGGCUGAGGUGUGCCGGGCAGAGUGCUGGGGUGGACAGCCAGGUCAGACAGCUGAGGAGGAGGCAGUGGACAACCCCUGGCUCUUUGGCUCCAGGCACCUCUAGGGAGGGAGAGUAGAUGCCUGCAGCUGCCGUUACCCAGGGUGUUUCCCUCAACCUGGGGGCCCUGCCUGGCUCCAGCCUCCCACUGCUGGUCCACCCGCUCCACACGGACUACUGUAGGCUAGCGGAACACAGCAGGGGCAGGGCACUCAUCGUCAUAGGGAAAAAGCUGGUCAGCGAGAAGAGCAUUUUCUCAAACCCUUCCCUCUUCACCCGAGGCAGUCAAGGAGUGGCCAUUGCAAGUCAGCUAAGUGAGUUGUCUUUGUACCAGUCUUCCUGUGGAGGAGUGACCCCUGAGAGACUCCUCACCUGCUGGUCUGAGACUCAGAGCUGUGAUACAGGCCUCUCUACUGAACAGAGCUCUCUCUACUCAUGGAGAUAUGAUGAGUUUGACAGAGUGAACACCCAGCGUGUGCGUCAGCUAUUCAGUGAUGUGGACGAGCUGCUGUAUGAAGGGAGGGUGAACAGCAGCUCCCUGGGACUGCAGGAGGAGUGUCAGGAGUGGACCGGACACUCCCCACACCUCAGAAUUCUGGGUAAUCAGCUGGAGUCGCCCAAUCAGGAAGGGUUUCAGUACGUUCACAGGAGAGUGGAGGCCAGUGGAGGGAGAGGGAGUGCAGUGCUGCCCCCGUGUGUGGACAAGAGGGAGAACUCUGGAGAGUUAUGUGUUGAAGGUCACGGUCUUUCCCCAACUCCCUGCACAUUGCAGGGGGCAACCCCUCUCUCCCACUCUCUCUGUGAUCACUCAUCCCUACUACAAGAAGAGGUCUACGAGGCAGAGGGAAGGAUGGAGGAAUUUCUUGCCUAUGAUGCCAAAGACAUGGAGGAUGAGUGGGUGAGUCAGAGAGGAGUCUCGGGAUCUGUGGGGGCAGCAGGGAGAUCCGGGGUACCCCCUGUGUCUCCCCACACCUGUAUCAGGGAUGCCGUGGCUGACGAGGCCUUUGAUGACAUGUGGAGGGAGGUGGUGAACUCUCUGGGGGAGCUCCUCCACAAACACUGGCAGAGACAAAUCACUGGUGGAGCAGGUCACAGAGGAGUUUUGGAGGCUCUUGGUGGAGUCUUGGGUGAUCCCUCUCCUCACAUCAACAGUAAAUGUCAGCGUGUCCCUCUCUCCAGGGGCUCCAACACACGUAGCAUGCUGCUGUGGUCCAACUGCUGCCCCAGUACACAGGCCUCUCAGGUAUCAAGUACCUUCAAGAUUAAUUUAAAUGGUGUUAUGACAAUCCAAGCUAAGCCUCUUCAACAAAGACAACAUGGAUUUGCAGAGAAGUCUCAUUGUGAUCUGGAGGACAGACCCAGCAGAGCUCCAGCCCCCACUAUGUCUCCAUCCAGGAGAGCAUGUAGUACGCCCUCCCACAGAGCCCCAGGCCCAGCCCAGCGAGGCAUGCCCCUGCCCAGGCUCCAUAUCUGCUCCAGACCCAGCUCCACCUCCAGAAGUACCAGCUCCAGGGGCAGGGCCAGGAGCUGCCUCAGCCCCAGACACACUGUCCCCAGACAUCAGGUCAUCAGAGGAACCAGACUGACCACAGUGACAGAAGGACAGCCGUCCCCAAUCCUCAGUUCAAUACAGAACCAGAGGCUCCUCCCCCUCCUCCAUGCUGACCAAUCAGAGCUGGAAACCUCAGUGUGUACUGCUGCACCCAUGCAGGUACCAGCUCAGGCGGAGGAUUCUGCAAGGAGGACAUACCACUGUACCCAUCUCCAUCCUUCCACUCCUCAGAGAGCCCACUCUGCUGUUGGAGUCCCUGUCUCGUCCCAACACCACACACAUACUCCGGUCAGACACACCCAUGAAGCGAUUGUUCACUCCCAUGGAUUUCACCUGCCACAUGAAGACUGGGAAAGGACCUCACCCAGGUGACUGUGCUCCGAUUGGAGUGACAGGCUUUGGUGUGGGUAUCACCUGCUCCGGCUCCAGUGGCUUCUCCGAGAGCACCAUGGCAAUGAUGAGACGCCAGCGCCCGCUAUCCUCCUCUGUGGAAGGAGAGAGUGGGACCGAACCACUGCUGUUAGGUGUUCCUUAUCAACGUAAAGUGUUUGGUCGGUUUCCUGGUCAUGUGAAGAAGAGACUCCAGGUGGUGUUGUCAUAGGAGCACAGUCCAGACAGGAAGACCAGAAUGCAUCAGGAACACCAACAAUUGGAAUGAAUGGGUGUGACUUGAUGAAGUACAGCUACGGUGAGAUUUACCAUAGAACUAAAACAAGAGUUUGGACUUACGUUUUGAAGCCAUUCCUGUGGUGAUAGCUAGCUAGCCUCCCUGACAGUGGCUAUCUAGAGGUAAGACCGCAAUGUGCAGAUAACAGGUGGACAAUUAGGACAAGGUUUUAAUUUGAAAAUACCACAUUUAGGUUGCAAUGGCAUUUAGCAGGACUGCUUGGUUAUAUUUUAUAUCUGCCGUUUUAAUUAGAUACAUUGUAGUUUAUUGAUGUGGCAAGAGCGAUUACAGGAUAGGACAAAUGUGAUUAAAUACAUUGUCCACUACUGUUUGUUUACCUAGAUGUUGAUUUUGCAAGCUAGCUAGCAUUGUGAAGCAGUGUCUAUGCAUACAAGCAAUCGUACGCUGAUAUUUCAUCCAAAAUCAACAAUCGCCAGUGAAAUAUUGAUAGUUUUUUUGUGAAAAUCUAAGUGAUAUCAAAUACAGUACAAUAUGAGGCCUCCCGAGUGUCGCAGCAGUCUUAGGCACUGCAUUAGUGAUUGAGGUGUCACUACAGACCCAGGUUAAAUCCCAUGCUGUGUCGCUGCCGACUGCGACUGGGAGACCCAUGAGGUGGGCACAAUUGGCCUAGCGUUGUCCGGGUUAGGGGUUUGGCCGGCUGGGAGGUCCUUGUCCCAUCACCCUCUAGCGACUCCUUGUGGCAGGCCGGGCAAUUGCAAGCUGACUUCAGUCGCCAGCUAGACGGUAUUUCCUCUGACACAUUGGUGCGGCUGGCUUCCGGGUUAAGCGAGCAGUGUGUCAAGAAGCAGCGUGGCUUGGCAGGGUCGUGUGGUAAAAAAAAGUAUUUAAAAUAAAAAGGCAGAAACUGCUUCUCCAAUAGCCUACAACUGUGAUCAGGGAUUUCUAUGUCAUGGCGACGUUGGCUAGCUAAGCUCGUGCAGAAACACAUCAUCAGGUUUAACGGUCGUCAUGUGCCGAACUGCGCAUGUGCAUACCAUCAAAUCAAAGGGACUCCUUUAAUAUAAAGGUAUUUUUGACUAAAAUGAAAACGUGUCACUUUCACUUGGUUGGAGUAAUAACAUGUUCAACUACUUAAGACAUUGUCUCAUAAGUUGUGCCUUUAGAUUUCGAGAACUAAGGAAGAAUUUCUCUUCUCUCAUGGACCCCAAACCCUGGCCUGGUCUGCUUGGUCUUCCAUAAACCCCAAACCCUGGCCUGGUCUGCUUGGUCUAGUUCUCAAGCAUUCCCGGAAGUCUUGCGAUGUUGCGCAUGUGGCGAUAUCCAACUCAGACUCAUCUGGCUUCAAAACGUAAAUCCUAACUCUUGCGGGAGUUCAAUGAUAAAUCUCAUCCUUAGCUGUAUUCUAUGUAGUCAUAACCGGAAUUUAUGGAAACAACCGGAAGAAAGGUCCAAUUGGAUUUUCAUUUGGCUAAACUAUUCUCAAUGCAAUGUUUUUUAUUAUUACAUUGAUUGAUGAAACCAUAACAUUUAUACAGAUUAUUAGCUGCUUCUUAACACAAGGUCAUUACUAAAUCUAAAUUCAAUGUGGCUAAAUUCAUUUGGUAAAUGAGCCAUGUUAGGAGGAAAAACAUGAACUAGGUCCUACUUGUAUGUUUUCUACAGAAAUGUCAGUGUCUUGAAAACCCUAGGUUUUUCAAGGAAUGAUCAUUCAUUCAAAUAUUGUUUUGAAAUUGUAACAAUAUAAUUUUGUUAUGCAAUAAAUGGCUAUUUCUGUUACAUG